UACGUAGGGGGCAAGCGUUGUCCGGAAUCAUUGGGCGUAAAGAGCGUGUAGGCGGCCUGGUAAGUCCGCUGUGAAAGUCCAGGGCUCAACCCUGGAAUGCCGGUGGAAACUGUCAGGCUCGAGUCCGGAAGAGGCGAGUGGAAUUCCUGGUGUAGUGGUGAAAUGCGCAGAUAUCAGGAGGAACACCAAUGGCGAAGGCAGCUCGCUGGGACGGUACUGACGCUGAGACGCGAAAGCGUGGGGAGCAAACAGG
rnacentral:rRNA from 1 species